AUUGAACGCUGGCGGCAGGCCUAACACAUGCAAGUCGAGCGGAUGAAGGGAGCUUUCUCCUGGAUUCAGCGGCGGACGGGUGAGUAUGCCUAAGAAACUGCCUGGUUAUGGGGGAAUACCUUCGGAAACCGGCCUAAAUUCCGCCUCAGUCCGUUGGGGGAAAGUGGGGGCUUUUCGGUACUCAUCCCAACAAAUCAACUCGGGUGGGUUUACCAGUUUGGGGGGGUAAGGGCCAACCAGGCGACGCUCCGCAACUGGUCUGAGAGGAUGAUCAGUCACACUGGAGAUGAGACACGGUCCUGACUCCUACGGGAGGCAGCAGUGGGGAAUAUUGGACCAUGGGCGAAAGCCUAAUCCAGCCAUGCCGCGUGUGUGAAGAAGGUCUUCGGAUUGUAAAGCACUUUAAGUUGGGAGGAAGGGCAGUAAGUUAAUACCUUGCUGUUUUGACGUUACCAACAGAAUAAGCACCGGCUAACUUCGUG
rnacentral:rRNA from 1 species